CGGUCCCUAUCCGGCGCGGGCGGAGGAUAUUUGAGAGGAGCUGCCCCUAGUACGAGAGGACCGGGGUGGACGGACCACUGGUGUAUCAGCUGUCGACCAACGGCAUAGCUGAGUAGCCAAGUCUGGACGGGAUAAACGCUGAAGGCAUCUAAGCGUGAAGCCCCCCUCAAGAUGAGAUAUCCCCUCCUUCAAGGAGAUAAGAUCCCUUAAAGACGAUAAGGUAGAUAGGUUCAAGGUGUAAGUGUGGUAACACAUUCAGCUGAUGAAUACUAAUAGAUCGAAGGUUUAUUCU
rnacentral:rRNA from 1 species